UACAGAGGGUGCGAGCGUUGUCCGGAAUCACUGGGCGUAAAGGGCGCGUAGGCGGCCUUCUCAGUCGGACGUGAAAUCCCCGGGCUUAACUCGGGAACUGCGUCCGAUACUGGAAGGCUGGAGUUCGGGAGAGGGAUGUGGAAUUCCACGUGUAGCAGUGAAAUGCGUAGAGAUGUGGAGGAAUACCGAUGGCGAAGGCAGCCCCCUGGGACAACACUGACGCUCAGGCACGAAAGCGUGGGGAGCAAACAGGG
rnacentral:rRNA from 1 species